CGAGGAGGUAGGGCUUACGCUUGCGUUUGUCUGUUAUAUCUUGGUGGACGAGUUGUCGCGGUUGGGACUGAGGUGCCUACAACGUGCUUUUGAGUGAGUUUGUGUCUCCGUGUGCGCCGUGUGUGGAUAGCUUGCUAUGUAUGUGCGGUUGUGUGUGGAUUGAUGCGGGCUUUAACUUGUUGCCGUUCGGGACGUUGGCGAAAUGGAGCGAUCCGACCCGUCUUGAAACACGGACCAAGGAGUCUAACAUGUGUGCAAGUGUUAGGGUGUGGAAACCCCAGCGCGAAAUGAAAGUGAAGGGCAGCGCAAGUUGUCUGAGGUAGGAAACGUUGUGGACUUCGGUCUGCGGCGUGGCACUAUCGACCGAUCAUGAACCUUCGUGGUGAAAGAUUUGAGUUUGAGCACAUAUGUUGGUACCCGAAAGAUGGUGAACUAUGCCUGAGUAGGGUGAAGCCAGGGGAAACUCUGGUGGAAGCUCGUAGCGAUUCUGACGUGCAAAUCGAUCGUCAAACUUGGGUAUAGGGGCGAAAGACUAAUCGAACCAUCUAGUAGCUGGUUCCCUCCGAAAUUUCCCUCAGGAUAGCAGCAACUUAUUUACGAUAGUUUUAUGAGGUAAAGCGAAUGAUUAGAGGAUUCGGGGAAGAAACUUCCUCGACCUAUUCUCAAACUUUAAAUCUGUAAGACCUGCAGGUUUCUUAAU
rnacentral:rRNA from 1 species